rnacentral:rRNA from 1 species
AUUGAACGCUGGCGGCAGGCCUAACACAUGCAAGUCGAGAGGAGCGGCGGACGGGUGAGUAAUGCCUAGUUAUCUGCCUCGUAGCGGGGGUUAACGUCCGGAAACGGGCGCUAAUACCGCAUACUAUCAGACGAGCCUAGGUCGGAUUAGCUAGUUGGUGGGGUAAAGGCCUACCAAGGCGACGCUCCGUAACUGGUCUGAGAGGAUGAUCAGUCACACUGUGACUGGGACACGGUCCAGGCUCCUACGGGAGGCAGCAGUGGGGAAUAUUGGACAAUGGGCGAAAGCCUGAUCCAGCCAUGCCGCGUGUGUGAAGAAGGUCUUCGGAUUGUAAAGCACUUUAAGUUGGGAAGCGUUACCAACAGAAUAAGCACCGGCUAACUUCGUGCCAGCAGCCGCGGUAAUAC